rnacentral:rRNA from 1 species
GGUUAAGCGACUAAGCGUACACGGUGGAUGCCCUGGCAGUCAGAGGCGAUGAAGGACGUGCUAAUCUGCGAUAAGCGCCGGUAAGGUGAUAUGAACCGUUAUAACCGACGAUUUCCGAAUGGGGAAACCCAGUGUGACUCGUCACACUAUCAUUAACUGAAUCCAUAGGUUAAUGAGGCGAACCGGGGGAACUGAAACAUCUAAGUACCCCGAGGAAAAGAAAUCAACCGAGAUUCCCCCAGUAGCGGCGAGCGAACGGGGAGGAGCCCAGAGCCUGAAUCAGCAUGUGUGUUAGUGGAAGCGUCUGGAAAGGCGCGCGAUACAGGGUGACAGCCCCGUACACAAAAGCGCAUGUGCUGUGAGCUCGAUGAGUAGGGCGGGACACGUGGUAUCCUGUCUGAAUAUGGGGGGACCAUCCUCCAAGGCUAAAUACUCCUGACUGACCGAUAGUGAACCAGUACCGUGAGGGAAAGGCGAAAAGAACCCCGGCGAGGGGAGUGAAAAAGAACCUGAAACCGUGUACGUACAAGCAGUGGGAGCACCUUCGGGUGUGACUGCGUACCUUUUGUAUAAUGGGUCAGCGACUUAUAUUCUGUAGCAAGGUUAACCGUAUAGGGGAGCCGUAGGGAAACCGAGUCUUAACCGGGCGUUAAGUUGCAGGGUAUAGACCCGAAACCCGGUGAUCUAGCCAUGGGCAGGUUGAAGGUUGGGUAACACUAACUGGAGGACCGAACCGACUAAUGUUGAAAAAUUAGCGGAUGACCUGUGGCUGGGGGUGAAAGGCCAAUCAAACCGGGAGAUAGCUGGUUCUCCCCGAAAGCUAUUUAGGUAGCGCCUCGUGAAUUCAUCUCCGGGGGUAGAGCACUGUUUCGGCUAGGGGGCCAUCCCGGCUUACCAACCCGAUGCAAACUGCGAAUACCGGAGAAUGUUAUCACGGGAGACACACGGCGGGUGCUAACGUCCGUCGUGAAGAGGGAAACAACCCAGACCGCCAGCUAAGGUCCCAAAGUCAUGGUUAAGUGGGAAACGAUGUGGGAAGGCUCAGACAGCCAGGAUGUUGGCUUAGAAGCAGCCAUCAUUUAAAGAAAGCGUAAUAGCUCACUGGUCGAGUCGGCCUGCGCGGAAGAUGUAACGGGGCUAAACCAUGCACCGAAGCUGCGGCAGCGACACUGUGUGUUGUUGGGUAGGGGAGCGUUCUGUAAGCCUGUGAAGGUGUGCUGUGAGGC